CCUACGGGUGGCAGCAGUAGGGAAUCUUCCACAAUGGGCGAAAGCCUGAUGGAGCAACGCCGCGUGGGUGAAGAAGGUCUGCGGAACGUAAAACCCUGUUGUUAGAGAAGAAAGUGCGUGAGAGUAACUGUUCACGUGUCGACGGUAUCUAACCAGAAAGCCACGGCUAACUACGUGCCAGCAGCCGCGGUAAUACGUAGGUGGCAAGCGUUAUCCGGAUUUAUUGGGCGUAAAGGGAACGCAGGCGGUCUGUUAAGUCUGAUGUGAAAGCCUUCGGCUUAACCGGAGUAGUGCAUUGGAACCUGGGAGACUUGAGUGCAGGAGAGGCGAGUGGUACUCCCUGUGUAGCGG
rnacentral:rRNA from 1 species